rnacentral:rRNA from 1 species
CCUACGGGUGACAGCAGUGAGGAAUAUUGGUCAAUGGGCGCGAGCCUGAACCAGCCAAGUAGCGUGAAGGAUGACUGCCCUACGGGUUGUAAACUUCUUUUAUAAAGGAGUAAAGUCAGGCACGUGUGCCUUUUUGUAUGUACUUGAUGAAUAAGGAUCGGCUAACUCCGUGCCAGCAGCCGCGGUAAUACGGAGGAUCCGAGCGUUAUCCGGAUUUAUUGGGUUUAAAGGGAGCGUAGAUGGGUUGUUAAGUCAGUUGUGAAAGUUUGCGGCUCAACCGUAAAAUUGCAAUUGAUACUGUUAGCCUUGAGUACAGUUGAGGUAGGCGGAAUUCGUGGUGUAGCGGUGAAAUGCUUAGAUAUCACGAAGAACUCCGAUUGCGAAGGCAGCAUAC